CAACAAUCAUAAAAAGAGUGCUCUUGAAGACUGACGCGCCAAAACCGUUCAGUGGUUCUCAGUGGCAGCCACGACACCUAGCUGGAGAGUUGGAAGAAAGUGAAUUUCCUCUGCAAGAACUGUAGUAGCCUACUGUUUAUUUUCAGAAGAAUAAAUUAAGAGACAACUAAACCAAAUGACAACAAUCAUAAAAAGAGUGCUCUUGAAGACUGACGCGCCAAAACCGUUCAGUGGUUCUCAGUGGCAGCCACGACACCUAGCUGGAGAGUUGGAAGAAAGUGAAUUUCCUCUGCAAGAACUGUAGUAGCCUACUGUUUAUUUUCAGAAGAAUAAAUUAAGAGACAACUAAACCAAAUGACAACAAUCAUAAAAAGAGUGCUCUUGAAGACUGACGCGCCAAAACCGUUCAGUGGUUCUCAGUGGCAGCCACGACACCUACCUGGAGAGUUGGAAGAAAGUGAAUUUCCUCUGCAAGAACUGUAGUAGCCUACUGUUUAUUUUCAGAAGAAUAAAUUAAGAGACAACUAAACCAAAUGACAACAAUCAUAAAAAGAGGAAGAAAGUGAAUUUCCUCUGCAAGAACUGUAGUAGCCUACUGUUUAUUUUCAGAAGAAUAAAUUAAGAGACAACUAAACCAAAUGACAACAAUCAUAAAAAGAGUGCUCUUGAAGACUGACGCGCCAAAACCGUUCAGUGGUUCUCAGUGGCAGCCACGACACCUAC
rnacentral:lncRNA from 1 species